rnacentral:SRP_RNA from 1 species
GUUCCAAGUUGUGAGUUGGACCAUGUGGCUUGAGCGAAAGCUUGGGCCACAUGGUUCCUAAAGCAGGGGGCACUGCGUAAGGCUGGUUUCACAGAGCUGCGAAAACCCCUCGCUCAUGACAGUGGAA